UUUUUUUUUGAGCGACCUGUUUCUUUCAUGUUUAUCUUGGAAAUGCACCCAGAUGUGUGUUCUUUUAUAUUGGAAGAAGGUGUUAAGAUAAUGCAAAGCGUACAAAACCUAACCAAAGCUGAAACAAAGCUAGGCUAGUCCAAGGCAAACCAACGGCCGAAGGAACAAGGUAGAAGAAGUCUAAAACUGGGAAUUUCCUAUUUAACGCGCUGUGAAUCAAAUAGUAGCUGCUUCGCAUAGAGGCGAGCUACUUAGCGAUCAAGAUGAGCCGGUUCAAUCUCGAGAUGGCGG
rnacentral:lncRNA from 1 species